UACGUAGGUGGCAAGCGUUUGUCCGGAAUUAUUGGGCGUAAAGCGCGCGCAGGCGGCUUCUUAAGUCUGAUGUGAAAUCUCGGGGCUCAACCCCGAGCGGCCAUUGGAAACUGGGAGCUUGAGUACAGAAGAGGAGAGUGGAGUUCCACGUGUAGCGGUGAAAUGCGUAGAUAUGUGGAGGAACACCAGUGGCGAAGGCGACUCUCUGGUCUGUAACUGACGCUGAGGCGCGAAAGCGUGGGGAGCAAACAGG
rnacentral:rRNA from 1 species